rnacentral:misc_RNA from 1 species
UUUGAUUAUGCUUUGAGCCAACUUCUUUCCAGCUUCUCGGCUAGGGACAGUCACGUAAACAACAAUACUGGGUACAGUGUUGCCGCUUGCUUCCAUUUUGAUAGAAUUAUCUUGCGAGUGGGCGCUAAACUUUGAUCUUGUAAAAAAGAGAGAGAUUGAGCGUGACCUGCCUUGAGGGAAGAGGAGAGGUUGGGGCCGGGGCCGGGGCAGGGGCAGAGAUUGAAGCGGCCCAAGCUCAACAUGCAAAACGCCG